rnacentral:rRNA from 4 species
GUUUUACCAGAAGUAGGUAGCUUAACCGCAAGGAGGGCGCUUACCACGGUAGGAUUCGUGACUGGGGUGAAGUCGUAACAAGGUAGCCGUAUCGGAAGGUGCGGCUGGAUCACCUCCUUUCUAG